rnacentral:rRNA from 1 species
AGAGUUUGAUCAUGGCUCAGGACGAACGCUGGCGGCGUGCCUAAUACAUGCAAGUCGAGCGAGCUUGCCUAGAUGAUUUUGGUGCUUGCACUAAAUGAAACUAGAUACAAGCGAGCGGCGGACGGGUGAGUAACACGUGGGUAACCUGCCCAAGAGACUGGGAUAACACCUGGAAACAGAUGCUAAUACCGGAUAACAACACUAGACGCAUGUCUAGAGUUUGAAAGAUGGUUCUGCUAUCACUCUUGGAUGGACCUGCGGUGCAUUAGCUAGUUGGUAAGGUAACGGCUUACCAAGGCAAUGAUGCAUAGCCGAGUUGAGAGACUGAUCGGCCACAUUGGGACUGAGACACGGCCCAAACUCCUACGGGAGGCAGCAGUAGGGAAUCUUCCACAAUGGACGAAAGUCUGAUGGAGCAACGCCGCGUGAGUGAGGAAGGGUUUCGGCUCGUAAAGCUCUGUUGGUAGUGAAGAAAGAUAGAGGUAGUAACUGGCCUUUAUUUGACGGUAAUUACUUAGAAAGUCACGGCUAACUACGUGCCAGCAGCCGCGGUAAUACGUAGGUGGCAAGCGUUGUCCGGAUUUAUUGGGCGUAAAGCGAGUGCAGGCGGUUCAAUAAGUCUGAUGUGAAAGCCUUCGGCUCAACCGGAGAAUUGCAUCAGAAACUGUUGAACUUGAGUGCAGAAGAGGAGAGUGGAACUCCAUGUGUAGCGGUGGAAUGCGUAGAUAUAUGGAAGAACACCAGUGGCGAAGGCGGCUCUCUGGUCUGCAACUGACGCUGAGGCUCGAAAGCAUGGGUAGCGAACAGGAUUAGAUACCCUGGUAGUCCAUGCCGUAAACGAUGAGUGCUAAGUGUUGGGAGGUUUCCGCCUCUCAGUGCUGCAGCUAACGCAUUAAGCACUCCGCCUGGGGAGUA